GAUGAACGCUGGCGGCGUGCCUAAUACAUGCAAGUCGAGCGAACGGACGAGAAGCUUGCUUCUCUGAUGUUAGCGGCGGACGGGUGAGUAACACGUGGAUAACCUACCUAUAAGACUGGGAUAACUUCGGGAAACCGUAGCUAAUACCGGAUAAUAUUUUGAACCGCAUGGUUCAAAAGUGAAAGACGGUCUUGCUGUCACUUAUAGAUGGAUCCGCGCUGCAUUAGCUAGUUGGUAAGGUAACGGCUUACCAAGGCAACGAUGCAUAGCCGACCUGAGAGGGUGAUCGGCCACACUGGAACUGAGACACGGUCCAGACUCCUACGGGAGGCAGCAGUAGGGAAUCUUCCGCAAUGGGCGAAAGCCUGACGGAGCAACGCCGCGUGAGUGAUGAAGGUCUUCGGAUCGUAAAACUCUGUUAUUAGGGAAGAACAUAUGUGUAAGUAACUGUGCACAUCUUGACGGUACCUAAUCAGAAAGCCACGGCUAACUACGUGCCAGCAGCCGCGGUAAUACGUAGGUGGCAAGCGUUAUCCGGAAUUAUUGGGCGUAAAGCGCGCGUAGGCGGUUUUUUAAGUCUGAUGUGAAAGCCCACGGCUCAGCCGUGGAGGGUCAUUGGAAACUGGAAAACUUGAGUGCAGAAGAGGAAAGUGGAAUUCCAUGUGUAGCGGUGAAAUGCGCAGAGAUAUGGAGGAACACCAGUGGCGAAGGCGACUUUCUGGUCUGUAACUGACGCUGAUGUGCGAAAGCGUGGGGAUCAAACAGGAUUAGAUACCCUGGUAGUCCACGCCGUAAACGAUGAGUGCUAAGUGUUAGGGGGUUUCCGCCCCUUAGUGCUGCAGCUAACGCAUUAAGCACUCCGCCUGGGGAGUACGACCGCAAGGUUGAAACUCAAAGGAAUUGACGGGGACCCGCACAAGCGGUGGAGCAUGUGGUUUAAUUCGAAGCAACGCGAAGAACCUUACCAAAUCUUGACAUCCUUUGACAACUCUAGAGAUAGAGCCUUCCCCUUCGGGGGACAAAGUGACAGGUGGUGCAUGGUUGUCGUCAGCUCGUGUCGUGAGAUGUUGGGUUAAGUCCCGCAACGAGCGCAACCCUUAAGCUUAGUUGCCAUCAUUAAGUUGGGCACUCUAAGUUGACUGCCGGUGACAAACCGGAGGAAGGUGGGGAUGACGUCAAAUCAUCAUGCCCCUUAUGAUUUGGGCUACACACGUGCUACAAUGGACAAUACAAAGGGCAGCGAAACCGCGAGGUCAAGCAAAUCCCAUAAAGUUGUUCUCAGUUCGGAUUGUAGUCUGCAACUCGACUACAUGAAGCUGGAAUCGCUAGUAAUCGUAGAUCAGCAUGCUACGGUGAAUACGUUCCCGGGUCU
rnacentral:rRNA from 1 species